rnacentral:rRNA from 1 species
GACGAACGCUGGCGGCGUGCUUAACACAUGCAAGUCGAACGGAAAGGCCCUGCUUUUGUGGGGUGCUCGAGUGGCGAACGGGUGAGUAACACGUGAGUAACCUGCCCUUGACUUUGGGAUAACUUCAGGAAACUGGGGCUAAUACCGGAUAGGAGCUCCUGCUGCAUGGGGGGGGUUGGAAAGUUUCGGCGGUUGGGGAUGGACUCGCGGCUUAUCAGCUUGUUGGUGGGGUAGUGGCUUACCAAGGCUUUGACGGGUAGCCGGCCUGAGAGGGUGACCGGCGACAUGGGGACUGAGAUACGGCCCAGACGCCUACGGGAGGCAGCAGUGGGGAAUAUUGCGCAAUGGGCGGAAGCCUGAUGCAGCAACGCCGGGUGCGGGAUGACGGCCUUCGGGUUGUAAACCGCUUUCGCCUGUGACGAAGCGUGAGUGACGGUAAUGGGUAAAGAAGCACCGGCUAACUACGUG